UACCAGCACCCCGAGUGGUCGGGACGAUUAUUGGGCCUAAAGCAUCCGUAGCCGGUUCUACAAGUCUUCCGUUAAAUCCACCUGCUUAACAGAUGGGCUGCGGAGGAUACUAUAGAGCUAGGAGGCGGGAGAGGCAAGCGGUACUUAGUGGGUAGGGGUAAAAUCCGUUGAUCCAUUGAAGACCACCAGUGGCGAAGGCGGCUUGCCAGAACGCAACUCGACGGGUGAGGGAUGAAAGCUGGGGGGAAGCAAACCGGG
rnacentral:rRNA from 1 species